rnacentral:sRNA from 1 species
GGUCAGGACCAGCCCAGCAGCCCAGCCACAGAGGAGCCAGCGAACCUCUCCCGGCGCCUGUGCUCGGGGCUUUCUGUUCCAGCGUCAAGGAUGGAGGAGGGGGAGAGGAGCCCCUUACUGUCCCAGGAAACUGCAGGCCAGAAGCCCCUCUCUGUGCACAGUCCACCCACCUCAGGCUGCCUAGGUCCAGUGCCCAGGGAGGACCAGGCAGACGCCUGGGGCUGCAGCUGCUAUCCCCCGGAGACCAAGCACCAGGCCUUGAGGGGCACCCCCGGGAAAGGACCAGCCCCUUCACUCUCCACAGGGAGCAGCUGCGUCAAGUAUCUGAUCUUCCUCUCCAACUUCCCCUUCUCCCUGCUGGGGCUGCUGGCCCUGGCCAUCGGGCUCUGGGGCCUGGCCGUCAAGGGGUCUCUGGGAAGUGAUCUGGGGGGGCCCCUGCCCGCAGACCCCAUGCUGGGGCUGGCACUGGGAGGGCUGGUGGUCAGCGCAGUGAGCCUGGCUGGCUGCCUGGGCGCCCUCUGUGAGAACACCUGCCUGAUACGUGGCUUCUCCGGGGGCAUCCUUGCCUUCCUGGUGCUUGAGGCCGUGGCAGGGGCCCUGGUGGUGGCCCUCUGGGGCCCACUGCAAGACAGCGUGGAGCACACCCUGCGUGUGGCCAUCGCCCACUACCAGGACGACCCAGACCUGCGCUUCCUCCUCGACCAAGUCCAGCUCGGGCUGAGGUGCUGCGGGGCUGCCUCCUACCAGGACUGGCAGCAGAACCUGUGAGUCUUGGAGUGGGCGAGGGACAGGGCCACCACAGGGUCCCAGAGGCCACACACCCUUGUGUGUGUACACACAGUCACUCACACGUAAAUACUCAUUCGUGCAUGCCCACAUGUACAUGCAUAUCCACACUGGCACAUCUCAUGCUCACACACCUACACGCUCCUCUACACUGACAUGAACAUGUUCUCGUGCACACACAAAACAGCCUCAUGCUCAGGCACACACUCACACUCAAACAUGUUCAUACACACACGUGUCAUGCACACAAGGUAUAGGGGUGCUUGCCUCUCCUUGUUCCAUGGGCUCAGGGCCCCAAUCAGCCCUGCGGCCCCCACAACCUCCAGUGUGACUCUGUUCCCCCCGCCAGGGCCAGGAGGACUACCCAGGAGCUUAGUGGAGAAGCUCAGCCCGCAGACUUAGAAAGUCAUUUUUCUGCUGGGCAUGAUGGCUCACACUUGUAAUCCCAGCACUUUGGGAGGCUGAGGUAGGCGGAUCACCUGAAGUCAGGAGUUCAAGACCAGCCUGGCCAACAUGGUGAAACCCCAUCUCUACUAAAAAUACAAAAAUUAGCCAGGCAUGGUGGCAGGCACCUGUAAUCCCAGCUACUCAGGAGGCUGAGGCAGGAGAAUGACUUGAACCCAGGAGGUGGAGGUUGCAGCCAAAACCGCACCACUGCACUCCAGCAUGGGCAACAGAGCGAGAAUCCAUCUCAAAAAAAAAAAAAGGCCAGGCGUGGUGGCUCACACCUGUAAUCCCAGCACUUUGGGGGGCCAAGGCGGGCGGAUCACGAGGUCAGGAGAUCAAGACCAUCCUGGCUAACACGAUGAAACCCCGUCUCUACUAAAAAAUAGAAAAAAUUAGCCGGUGUGGUGGCAGGUGCCUAUAGUCCCAGCUACUCAGGAGGCUG